UACGUAGGGUGCAAGCGUUGUCCGGAAUUAUUGGGCGUAAAGAGCUCGUAGGCGGUCUGUCACGUCGGCUGUGAAAACCUGGGGCUCAACUCCGGGCCUGCAGCCGAUACGGGCAGACUAGAGUUCGGCAGGGGAGACUGGAAUUCCUGGUGUAGCGGUGAAAUGCGCAGAUAUCAGGAGGAACACCGGUGGCGAAGGCGGGUCUCUGGGCAACAACUGACGCUGAGGAGCGAAAGCGUGGGGAGCGAACAGG
rnacentral:rRNA from 1 species